rnacentral:rRNA from 1 species
UACGUAGGGGGCUAGCGUUGUCCGGAAUCAUUGGGCGUAAAGCGCGUGUAGGCGGCAAGGCAAGUCGGGUGUGAAAGCCCUGGGCUCAACCCAGGAAGUGCAUUCGAUACUGCCAAGCUAGAGUCCCGGAGAGGGUGGUGGAACUCUCGGUGUAGAGGUGAAAUUCGUAGAUAUCGAGAAGAACACCGGUGGCGAAGGCGGCCACCUGGACGGUGACUGACGCUGAGACGCGAAAGCGUGGGGAGCAAACAGG